rnacentral:rRNA from 1 species
UACGUAGGGUGCAAGCGUUGUCCGGAAUUAUUGGGCGUAAAGAGCUCGUAGGCGGUUUGUCGCGUCUGCUGUGAAAACGCGAGGCUCAACCUCGCGCCUGCAGUGGGUACGGGCAGACUAGAGUGCGGUAGGGGAGAUUGGAAUUCCUGGUGUAGCGGUGGAAUGCGCAGAUAUCAGGAGGAACACCGAUGGCGAGGGCAGAUCUCUGGGCCGUAACUGACGCUGAGGAGCGAAAGCAUGGGGAGCGAACAGG